AACGCAUAUUGCGCUCCUUUUGGAGCAUGUUUGUUUGAGAACCGUUUCAACCCUCACACCCUCAUAUUAUUUUCAUAAUAUUGUAGGGAAUUGUGGAAAUGGAAGGUUUCCUGGUUUUAAGGAAUCCUAUCUGAAAUUGAAUGUCGGUUUUUUUUGCUUGUGGAAACCUACAAGACGUGAUGAUGCGGUUAUUAUGACUGCUUUUCAUCGUCGGUCAGGAUAAAAACAAGCGCUUAUUGAAAAACGACGCAUAAAUUUUUUCUGCCAGGCAGUCAAUUCCUAAAAUUUUUUGGGAGUCGAUUGAAAUACCUGAACUAUGGUCUCAAAUCAAGCAAGAGGACCCGCUGAACUUAA
rnacentral:misc_RNA from 1 species